rnacentral:rRNA from 1 species
UACGUAGGUGGCAAGCGUUAUCCGGAAUUACUGGGCGUAAAGCGUGCGCAGGCGGUUUUGUAAGCCAGGUGUGAAAUCCCCGGGCUCAACCUGGGAAUGGCAUUUGGGACUGCAAGGCUGGAGUGCGGCAGAGGAGACUGGAAUUCCUGGUGUAGCAGUGAAAUGCGUAGAUAUCAGGAGGAACACCGAUGGCGAAGGCAGGUCUCUGGGCUGACACUGACGCUCAUGCACGAAAGCGUGGGGAGCAAACAGG